GCACUUGGGGUCCAAGAAUGGCAAGAUCAGCAAUCAGCAAGAAGAUCACCAUUGCUGACUGGACAACUGCAAUAAAUUUGACGGGUGUUUCUCUUAAAAAAAAAAAAAAAAUACUGUGACAGACCAAGGAGCCAUGUGUUCACAUGUCAUGUGGACCAGUAUUUAACUGUGGAAACCGCGGGUGGCAUGGAGAAGGAGGCAGUGUCCGUGACUGUGCUGCUCUCCGCAGCCCCCUGCCUGCUGUCCUGUUUCCUCGGCUCCUCGGUGUCUGGACUGGCGUUCUGGGUUUCCCAGCAGAAAACUAAAGGGCCAGAGAGGUGUAAAAACACACACCACUUGGCAGGUGAUUUGAAGAUAUUAAAGCUAGAAAUUGGAACUAGAAAAUCAAAAGAAUUCAAGGCAUCUUAACGUGACAGUUGAACUCAUUUGAUUAUACUUAAAAAAGUUUAUUGCAGUUAUUGACUCUCAAUUUUUUUUUUUUUUUUUUGAGUGCAGUGGUGCCAUUGUUGCUCACUGCAGCCUCAAUCUUCCAGGCUCAAGAAAUCCUCCCACCUCAGCUUCCAGAGUAGCUGGGACUACAGGUGCAUGCCACACCCUGAUAAUUUUUUUUUCCCCAAUAUAAACGAGGUCUUGCUAUGUCCUCCAGUCUGGUCUUGAACUCAAGUGAUCCACCCACCUUGGCCUCCCAAAGUGCUGGGAUUACAGGCGUGAGCCACCAAACCCAGCCACCAAUUUUACUUUAGGUAAACUUUUAUUUUCAAGCUUUUGUUGGUGUUGCAAGUGUAAAUCUGUUUUAUAAAAUGUUCUAUAAAUAUAACCACUAUUCCUUGUAAGCUAUUUAAAAUAAAUUUUAAAG
rnacentral:lncRNA from 1 species